UGAGGAAUAUUGCGCAAUGGGGGAAACCCUGACCCAGCAACGCCGCGUGAAGGAUGAAGUAUUUCGGUAUGUAAACUUCGAAAGAAUAGGAAGAAUAAAUGACGGUACUAUUUAUAAGGUCCGGCUAACUACGUGCCAGCAGCCGCGGUAAUACGUAGGGACCAAGCGUUGUUCGGAUUUACUGGGCGUAAAGGGCGCGUAGGCGGCAUGACAAGUCACUUGUGAAAUCUCUGGGCUUAACCCAGAACGGCCAAGUGAUACUGUCGCGCUAGAGUGCAGAAGGGGCAAUCGGAAUUCUUGGUGUAGCGGUGAAAUGCGUAGAUAUCAAGAGGAACACCUGAGGUGAAGACGGGUUGCUGGGCUGACACUGACGCUGAGGCGCGAAAGCCAGGGGAGCAAACGGGAUUAGAUACCCAAGUAGUCCCUGAGCGGGCUGGCAAGGCGCAU
rnacentral:rRNA from 1 species